UACGGAGGAUCCAAGCGUUAUCCGGAUUUAUUGGGUUUAAAGGGUGCGUAGGCGGCCUAUUAAGUCAGGGGUGAAAGACGGUAGCUUAACUAUCGCAGUGCCUCUGAUACUGAUAGGCUUGAAUGUACUUGAGGUAGGCGGAAUGUGACAAGUAGCGGUGAAAUGCAUAGAUAUGUCACAGAACACCAAUUGCGAAGGCAGCUUACUAAAGUAUGAUUGACGCUGAGGCACGAAAGCGUGGGGAUCAAACAGG
rnacentral:rRNA from 1 species